rnacentral:rRNA from 1 species
AUUAUUGUACAAUGGCGGCAACCGUGAUCCAGCCAUGCCGCGUGUGUGAAAUAGGNCUNNGGAUUNUNAAGCACUUUAAGUUGNNNNNAAGGGCUUUUGAUUAUUCCUCUGAAAUUUUGACGUUACCAAUAGUAUAAGCUCCGGCUAACUCUGUGCCAGCAGUAGCGGUACUACAGCGGGUGCAAGCGUUAAUCGGAAUUACUGGGCGUAAAGCGCGCGUAAGUGGUUCAGCAAGAUGGGUGUGAAAACCCCGGGCUUAACCUGGGAACUGCUUGCAUAAAUGCUGAGCUAGAGUACGGUAGAGGGUAGUGGAAUUUCCUGUGUAGCGGUGAAAUGAGUAAAUAUAGGAAGGAACACCAGUGGCGAAGGCGACUACCUAGACUGAUACUGACACUGAGGUGCGAAAGCGUGGGGAGCAAACA